AUUGAACGCUGGCGGCAUGCUUUACACAUGCAAGUCGGACGGCAGCACAGAGAAGCUUGCUUCUUGGGUGGCGAGUGGCGAACGGGUGAGUAAUAUAUCGGAACGUACCGAGUAAUGGGGGAUAACUAAUCGAAAGAUUAGCUAAUACCGCAUAUUCUCUGAGGAGGAAAGCAGGGGACCUUCGGGCCUUGCGUUAUUCGAGCGGCCGAUAUCUGAUUAGCUAGUUGGUGGGGUAAAGGCCUACCAAGGCGACGAUCAGUAGCGGGUCUGAGAGGAUGAUCCGCCACACUGGGACUGAGACACGGCCCAGACUCCUACGGGAGGCAGCAGUGGGGAAUUUUGGACAAUGGGCGCAAGCCUGAUCCAGCCAUGCCGCGUGUCUGAAGAAGGCCUUCGGGUUGUAAAGGACUUUUGUCAGGGAAGAAAAGGCUGUUGCUAAUAUCGACAGCUGAUGACGGUACCUGAAGAAUAAGCACCGGCUAACCACGUG
rnacentral:rRNA from 1 species